GACGGAGGAUGCAAGCGUUAUCCGGAAUGAUUGGGCGUAAAGCGUCCGCAGGUGGCAGUUCAAGUCUGCUGUCAAAGACCGGGGCUUAACUUCGGAAAGGCAGUGGAAACUGAACAGCUAGAGUAUGGUAGGGGCAGAGGGAAUUCCUGGUGUAGCGGUGAAAUGCGUAGAGAUCAGGAAGAACAUCGGUGGCGAAGGCGCUCUGCUGGACCAUAACUGACACUGAGAGACGAAAGCUAGGGGAGCAAAUGGG
rnacentral:rRNA from 1 species